AGCAUAUCAAUAAGCGGAGGAAAAGAAACUAACAAUGAUUCCCCUAGUAACUGCGAGUGAAGCGGGAAAAGCUCAAAUUUAAAAUCUGGUGGCCUUUGGCCAUCCGAGUUGUAAUUUAGAGAAGCGUCUUCCGCGCUGGACCGUGCACAAGUCUCCUGGAAUGGAGCGUCAUAGAGGGUGAGAAUCCCGUCUUUGGCACGGACACGCCAGGGCUUUUGUGAUGCGCUCUCGAAGAGUCGAGUUGUUUGGGAAUGCAGCUCAAAAUGGGUGGUGAACUCCAUCUAAAGCUAAAUAUUGGCGAGAGACCGAUAGCGAACAAGUACCGUGAGGGAAAGAUGAAAAGCACUUUGGAAAGAGAGUGAAACAGUACGUGAAAUUGUUGAAAGGGAAACGCUUGAAGUCAGUCGCGUCGACCGAGACUCAGCCUCGCCUUGGCUUGGCGUACUUCUCGGCUUGACGGGUCAGCAUCAAUUUCGGCCCUUGGAUAAUGGCGGGAGAAAUGUGACACCUUUACGGUGUGUUAUAGUCUCUCGUCGCAUGCGAGGGUCGGGAUUGAGGAACUUAGCACGCGCCUUUCGGCGUCGGGGCCUUCGCCCACGAUACGUGCUUAGGAUGUUGGCGUAAUGGCUUUAAACGACCCGUCUUGAAACACGGACCAAGGAGUCUAACAUGCCUGCGAGUGUUCGGGUGGAAAACCCGUGCGCGCAAUGAAAGUGAAAGUUGGGACCUCUGUCGUGGAGGGCACCGACGCCCGGACCAGACCUUCUGUGACGGCUCUGCGGUAAAGCAUGUAUGUUAGGACCCGAAAGAUGGUGAACUAUGCCUGAAUAGGGUGAAGCCAGAGGAAACUCUGGUGGAGGCUCGUAGCGAUUCUGACGUGCAAAUCGAUCGUCAAAUUUGGGUCAUAGGGGCGAAAGACUAAUCGA
rnacentral:rRNA from 1 species